UCAUACGGGAGGCAGCAGUGGGGAAUAUUGCACAAUGGGGGAAACCCUGAUGCAGCCAUGCCGCGUGUGUGAAGAAGGCCUUCGGGUUGUAAAGCACUUUCAGUUGUGAGGAAAAGUUAGUAGUUAAUACCUGCUAGCCGUGACGUUAACAACAGAAGAAGCACCGGCUAACUCCGUGCCAGCAGCCGCGGUAAUACGGAGGGUGCGAGCGUUAAUCGGAAUUACUGGGCGUAAAGCGCACGCAGGCGGUUUGUUAAGCUAGAUGUGAAAGCCCCGGGCUCAACCUGGGAUGGUCAUUUAGAACUGGCAGACUAGAGUCUUGGAGAGGGGAGUGGAAUUCCAGGUGUAGCGGUGAAAUGCGUAGAUAUCUGGAGGAACAUCAGUGGCGAAGGCGACUCCCUGGCCAAAGACUGACGCUCAUGUGCGAAAGUGUGGGUAGCGAACAGGAUUAAAUACCCUGGUAGUCCACACCGUAAACGCUGCCUACUAACUGUGUGUGUCUUUUAAAAGUGCGUAACGAAACUUAAGCGCUAAGUAAACCGCCU
rnacentral:rRNA from 1 species